AAUUUAUCUUAUUCAAACUCAAUGCGAGCGUGACUGAUAGAUAAGUCAGGCCGCGGGGCAGGUAAAAUUUCCGUUGUUUUUGGCGGGUUUGUGUACUUUGUCACGGUGGAGGAAAUGAAAAACCGCGGUGGCGCCAACUGUUGGAAUGUGGCGAUCAACGGCUUUCCAAAUUUCUCCGGCAAGCUCUCUAUCUUAUUUCAGAAGGAUUUUAACAUAAAUGGCAUAUGUGGGCAUACCUUGUGCAUUUUUUUUUCUGCUGAUGUGGAAUCAACCGUUCCAUCCCCUGCAGCAGAAUUCCUUGAAGAAGCAUGGAGCAGUUUUUUCUUAAGCAUCUUUUUCAUGACAUUUACAGCAGAUUUAUCAGCUUCUUUCUCCAUGCGCUUCUCAUCCCUCUCAUAUUUACCUCCACAAUUCUCUUCUGCUACUUUAGUCUUCUGAAAAAGCUCACCAAGUGAUGUCCUAUUUUCUUUCUUUCCGGCGGCUGUUGUUUCUGAGAACUCAACUGCUGAUCCAAAGAGAUAACCCUGCAGUGGGCAGACUGCUGUUCCAUUGGUCUCCUGGCCUUCCAUCGGCUUGCCACUAAGGGUAAUGGUGCUACCAUGACUGCUUCUUCCUGCACUAACAUAACUGUUUCUCCCUGAUGAAUCAUUGCACCAAUCUUCUCUAGCUUCUGCUCUCAGAACCUUCUCCAACUCAUCAUUGAUGAGCUUUAAUUCAUUCUCAGUUACUUCAGUGUCUUUUUCAGUUAUGUUAUCAAAUGAGAGGGCAAAUGUUGGCGUUGAGGGAUCAGUACUGACUGGCUCCGAACCAAGGGUGCCAAUUGCAAGAAAACCAUGAAAUAGCUCAGAUAUGGCAGCUGAUGAUUCCUCUUCAUAUUCUUCUUCCUCUUCUUCAAUUCUUGCUGCUUCCAGACUAGCAAAUGAUUUCCGGAGCAAGCAAAUAAAAUGAACUUGUUGUGUGCUGUGGAGCUAAUAUACCUAUACAAUUCUGAAAGAGGCCUGAAUACCAUCACAGGUAUGAUGAAAAAAAUUAUACGCAAAGGAAAAUGCUGUGGAGAUGAAAAGCUGCUGAGACAGAAUCCAAACCAUGUGUAAGGCUUCCACAUUAUAGUUAUUCAUAUACUACAAGAGUAGGGUCAGGUCAGGUGGAUCUUUUGUGUAAUCUGCUUUUAAGUAGCCAACAAGAUACUACAAUACGAGCUUCCGGACAGUUUCCAGCCACAAACAUCCAUGUAGCCAACUCUGCAGGAGACAGUAAAAAGAUAGAGGCUUUUUGCUACAAAGCAACUGAGAAUAUCAAGCAGACAUAUAAGGUCAAGGUGGUGGCGGCGGCUGUGGCCCGACACGUGUAUGGUUAUCAUUCGGCCAGAGCAUGAGUGAUCAGACAGUGCUAGAUCCCUGAGCAUCAAUCUAAAUUUGUGGUCAAACAACCUGAGACAACCCAUGCCAUCUCAACAAACGUGCUGGCUUUUUAUUUGGCUUUCAACGCGAGUGGCCUCCUCAGGUUGUCUGGAAUAUGGCAUGAACGCACCUCAACAUUCAUAUGCCUCCUAGCAGAAGAAAGACACUGAAAGAGGUAAUCACGUAUUUUGGUUUUGACCAUAACGUUUAGUUUGGAACCUUAAUCUUGUGUUUAUAAUACUUUGAUGGCUUGAUCUUGUUUUUAUGUUUGACAUAAAUUGUUCUAUAAUGUCCAUACUUAGACUUAAAAUGUUAAAUUAUAUAUUUAUAGAUGCCUUACUUCACUAGGUUUUAAA